AAUAAGUAUAAUUUUAUACUAUUCACGUUCAACGUUUGACCGUUCGUCUUAUUUAAAAAAUUUUUAUGAUUAGUAUUUUUAUUGCUAUUAGAUGAUAAAACAUGAAGUACUUUAUGUGUGACUAAAUAUUUUUAAUUUUUUCAUAAAUUUUUCAAAAAAACGGACGCUGAAACGUUAGGCACGGAUAUCCACGGCUGCACUUAUU
rfam:Oryza barthii chromosome 3, whole genome shotgun sequence.